GACGAACGCUGGCGGCGUGCCUAACACAUGCAAGUCGAACGGAAAGGCCUCUUUCGGGGGGUACUCGCGUGGCGAACGGGCGAGUAACACGCGCGUAACUUGCCUUUGUCUUUGGGAUAAAUUCAGUCAACUGGGGCUAAUACCGGACAGGUGCUCUUUCUGCCCGGCGGGGGCUGGAAAGUUUCGGCGUUUGGGGGUGGGCUCGCGAGUUAUCAGCUUGUUGGUGGGAAAGUGGUUUGCCAAGGCCUUGACGGGUAGCCGGCCUGAGGGAGUGACCGGCCGCAUUGGGACUGAGGGACGGCCGAGACUCCGACGGGAGGCAGCAGGGGGGAAGAUUGCAGGAGGGGUGGAGGCCGGGUGCAGCAGCGCCGUGGGCGGGAAGACGGCCUUAGGGUUGUAAAACGAUUUCGCUCGUGACGAAGCUUUGUGUGACGGUAGUGGGUAAGGAAGCACCGGCUAACUACGUG
rnacentral:rRNA from 1 species